GACGAACGCUGGCGGCGUGCUUAAUACAUGCAAGUCGAACGGAAAGGCCCUGCUUGCAGGGUACUCGAGUGGCGAACGGGCGAGUAACACGUGGGUGAUCUGCCCUGCACUUCGGGAUAAGCCUGGGCAACUGGGUCUAAUACCGGAUAGGAGCCAUUUUUAGUGUGAUGGUUGGAAAGUUUUUUCGGUGUAGGGUGAGCUCGCGGCCUAUCGGCUUGUUGGUGGGGUAAUGGCCUACCAAGGCGGCGACGGGUAGCCGGCCUGAGAGGGUGGACGGCCACAUUGGGACCGAGGUGCGGCCCAGACACCUACUGGAGGCAGCAGUGGGGAAUAUUGCACAAUGGGCGCAAGCCUGAUGCAGCGAGGCCGCGUAGGGGAUGACGGCCUUCGUGUUGUAAACUCCUUUCGCUAGGGACUAAGCUUUUUGUGACGGUACCUAGAUAGGAAGCACCGGCUAACUACGUG
rnacentral:rRNA from 1 species